ACAGCAGUGUGCUUUGUGUGUCAACUAAACACGCAAAUCCAGCACACAUAAAAGGAUUAUGAUGCUCAGAAUCCCAAGAAAUGGAUUCCUCCCCCAAAAUGCAUUAGUGAAGUAAUUCAGAAAUAAAAGGGUGACUCUGUGCACUGGCCAGAAACAGUCAAGUGUUGCUGAGCCCUGGUGAGCACUGAUAAUAACUCGCCAGAAAACAUCGACUGCGCUGUGAAAAGAGACAUCAGAAACACACAACAUAUCCAAGAGACCUUGGAGCAAAGGAAGCAUCUGUCUUUUUAAAACCUCAUUACUGUGGAGUACAAGGGCUCCAGCUCACAAACCACAAAUUACAUCAGCAACAUGCUGCCUUCUAAAGGACAGAGAUCCAAACAGCCUACAUACACAGGUACCCCAGGCUUGGAGAUGUGCAGGAAUGUUCCAGGGAAAAGUCACUUUGCUGUUAUUCUGAGCCAUCCUCAGGCUGGGGAGUACACACUGCAGCUACUUUAUCAAGCUGAAAUGAGGCCAACUGCAGUUCAGCAGCAGCAGAGUGAGAUGCAGAGGAUCCAUCCCUGCCUCCAGUGAAGAGGUUUCACUCCAGAGGAAGCUCUGCUGCUGCUGAGCCCCAGCCUGCCCAGCCCUGGCCUUCCCAGCACACACAUUCCAUCUGCAGCAGGAGUGGGCACACGGUCCUAUUUCUGCAGAAGGAGCCAAAGCAGAGGAGAUGAAGUUCAUGCUGGUUUCAUGCCAACUUUCUUGCAGCAGUGGGAGUACAGACAACACCUGACUCAGCAGAAAGCCCUACGCUAUAAUCUAUCAAAAAAUUUUCAAAUAAAUCUGAAUUACAAGAGUGGGUUUGUAUUGAA